AUUUUAAAUUCCGUGAUAAAUAUUUUCUUGAUUUUAUUUUAAUAAUAAUAAUGACCACGCCUUAUUUAAUUAAAACACGGCAGAUUCAAUGUUUGAGACGGAAUCUUGUGUCAAGGGGCACCAUGUCUACAAAUCAGUGUGGACACCAGUGAUGGGGAAGAUCAUCAUCUUUGACCUAGGCAGUAUGCUUAAAAUAGCAAUACAGAGUAACAAAGACAUCAGCUUGACCCGAGGGGUCCGCAAUGGCUCUGAAAAGUGUACGGGAUUAUGCUGAUUAUAGGAUUAUAAUCAAGAUUACUGAGAUUAGAUGGAUUACGAUGGAUUACAAGAUUAUGAAGAAGAUUAUGAAGAUUAUCCUUGAGAUUAUCAGAUUAUUUGAAGGAUUAUGAGGAUUAUGAAGAUUACUGUAGGAUUAUUUUAGUUUUCAAUUUGAUUAUUAAAGGUGUGUUUUAGUCUAGCUUGGUGUACUUGUCUUGGGAUUUGCAGCACAGUGGGCCAUACCAUUCAUCCUCUGCUUUGAAAGUUGGAACACAAUCUUCAUGAUACCACACUUCACAGCCCUCACAUUGUACCAUUAUAUCACCAUUAUCUCCCUUUAAGCAUUGUGGGCAGCUGUAGACAUCAGUACACUUCCUUGAGGAUCGUCUUGUUAAGAGACAAGAGACCUGCGAGUCUUAGCAACUGGAAACGGUGUCAUUCUCUUUUGUUCCAAACAUUGUAAAAAGUGUUGUCGCAUCUCAUUUUGUUAGAAUAUUAUAGAUGAUGGAUCAACAUCAUAA